GCUUCUUGACUCAACCAAAUCACACGAUCGAACGACAACAAUCGAGCGAGUGCUCCAGGAAGCCUCAGCCAGAGCCAGAGCUCGUGCACGCAUAGAAGAGCAUGGAGAGCAACCACAGUGACCUGCAGCCACCGUCAGGCUACCCGACGACGGCGGGCACGGUGCCGGUAGGCGGCAACGGCUCGCCGCCCCGGGAGGAGACAAGGCAGCGCGGCCGGAAAACUGGUUUCCUCGAUGCAUGUGUCGCCGCACUGUGCUGCUGCUGGCUGUGCGACCUGUGCUGCGUCUAGAUCGGGCGGCAGCAAAGACGUACGAGUUUGUUUAGGACGCAAGUUUUGAUCAAUACUUACUUAUCAAGAGUAUCCAGAAUGAUCAAGAUGGUGGUGCAUCUUGUCUCGUUGCUUUGUAGAGUAGCAGUAUUUGGGUUGUACUCCUAUAUGAGUGAAUGAGUCGUCCUGCAUGUGUGCGUGUGAGCCACCGCUUCUCUCUUCUUUCCUUUUGGAUUGGGGUGUGUAACCAUCCAUCAUCGUUGUUGAUGUACCGUAAUGCAAUGUAAUGAAUUUGUUUGUUCACGGAA